CCCAAUUUUCUCCUUCCCCGUAAAACCACAAACCCCAAACUGAACCGCCAAACUCGUGAGACCCCAAAACCUCAGACCCGUAAAACUCUCUCGCUCACCUUCGCCUGUGCUUCGCCGGCGUUCUUAUUGCUUGCCGGAGCCCUCCUUUCCCUCUGUUCGCGUCGUUGCUGCCAGUGACGUUGUUGCUGCUGCUGUCCUAUUUUUCUCUCUACUCUAUUGUGUUGUGCGUGUGGUGCUGCUCGCAAGCCACCACACCGCUGCUAUUGUUCGUGGUUACUGUUGCGGUGGCGGUGUUCGCGCCGCCGUGUCCUACUGUUGUUCGUCGGUGUGUUGGUUUGCCGCUGCUCACUGCUCUGUUCGCGGUUGUGCUUCGACGCGAUGUACCACUAGCUGCCGUCGUAGCUCCUCCUGUCUACUGCCGCUUCACCGUAGCUGUUGCUCCUUGUCGAUGAUCUCCGCCGCUGCCGGAGCCCAUUCCCCCCCUUGUCGUGUCUUCCCUGCUCUUGAAGCAGAGGUAAAGGCUAAUUCACUGUUUUCCUCUUAAAUUCUAAUUUCAAGAUUUGUAAAUUAAUUCCAAGUUGCUGUCGUUUGUUGUAAUUGUUGCUUCGUUGUUGUUGUAAUUGUUAUUGGUUGUUGGUGGUGGUGGAGUUGUUGUAGUUUUCGAGUUGUUGUGGUGGUUAUUUGUGUUGUCGUUGUGCUGUUGUUGGUGGUGUUGUGUUGGUUUAUAAAAGAAGAGAUGAUGUUGAAUUAGUUUGGCAAGAGUUAAGUUUAGUUAGUUCAAAUCUACAAUUUAGAAUUAUGAUUUGAGGAUUAUGGAAUGAGGAUGAUGAAGGUUAAUAAUUUCUUGAUUAGAAUUGGUUAUGGUUUUAGUUGGUAGUUGAGAUUAGUUUGAGAAUAGUUAUUAAUUAUCAUCACUGUUGUGAGGUGAUUCUUGGAGAAUGAUUAUGGAAUUGAAUCUCAUUUAGAGAUGAAGAUUAUUGAAGGUGUUGUUGGAAUUGGAUUGCAAUUCAGGUUUGAUAUUCAGAGCUCGAAAUUCGAAGUGGAGCAAGAUCAAGGUGUCAUAGUGGCUUAAGGAUUAAGCUUGUAUUUUAGAUAGUUGGUUUGAGAAUAGUUAUUGAUAUUUUCGAUGUAUAAUAUUUGGGAAUUUAGUUCAAUUAUUUGGGUAUUUAAAGAUAUUUUUCCGCUGCGAUUUUAUUAA